UACGUAGGGUGCAAGCGUUGCCCGGAUUUAUUGGGCGUAAAGGGCGCGCAGGCGGCUACGCACGUCCGUUGUGAAAUCGCUCGGCUCAACUGGGCGGGGUCGGCGGAUACGGCGUAGCUGGAGCAAGCUAGGGGGCAAUGGAAUUCCCGGUGUAGUGGUGGAAUGCGUAGAUAUCGGGAGGAGCACCAGUGGCGAAGGCGGUUGCCUGGAGCUUUGCUGACGCUGAGGCGCGAAAGCGUGGGGAGCGAUCCGG
rnacentral:rRNA from 1 species